UACGAAGGGGGGCUAGCGUUGUUCGGAAUCACUGGGCGUAAAGGGCGCGUAGGCGGCCGAUCAAGUCGGGGGGUGAAAUCCUGGAGCUCAACUCCAGAACUGCCUUCGAUACUGGAGAGCUUGAGUCCGGGAGAGGUGAGUGGAACUGCGAGUGUAGAGGGUGAAAAUUCGUAGAUAUUCGGAAGAACACCAGUGGCGAAAGGCGACUUAACUGGACACAUAUUGACGCUGAGGUGCGAAAGCGUGGGAGCAACAGGGAUAAGAUA
rnacentral:rRNA from 1 species